rnacentral:rRNA from 1 species
AUUGAACGCUGGCGGCAGGCCUAACACAUGCAAGUCGAGCGGCAGCGGGAAAGUAGCUUGCUACUUUUGCCGGCGAGCGGCGGACGGGUGAGUAAUGCCUGGGAAAUUGCCCAGUCGAGGGGGAUAACAGUUGGAAACGACUGCUAAUACCGCAUACGCCCUACGGGGGAAAGCAGGGGACCUUCGGGCCUUGCGCGAUUGGAUAUGCCCAGGUGGGAUUAGCUAGUUGGUGAGGUAAUGGCUCACCAAGGCGACGAUCCCUAGCUGGUCUGAGAGGAUGAUCAGCCACACUGGAACUGGGACACGGUCCAGACUCCUACGGGAGGCAGCAGUGGGGAAUAUUGCACAAUGGGGGAAACCCUGAUGCAGCCAUGCCGCGUGUGUGAAGAAGGCCUUCGGGUUGUAAAGCACUUUCAGCGAGGAGGAAAGGUUGAUGCCUAAUACGUAUCAACUGUGACGUUACUCGCAGAAGAAGCACCGGCUAACUCCGUGCCAGCCGCCGCCGUAACAC